GGCGACUGGAUGCAUCUACCGGAGAUUUAACCAAAGAGCAAGGAAACAAAGGAGAGGAAGCCGACUGAUCCAGAGCGAUGAGGAUGACACGUACACAACUUUAGUCUACAGUUCAUCUUAGAGACAAAACAUCCUCGCAGAUGAACACAAACACUGAAGAGUGUGCAGAAAGAUAAAAACACACACAUUUUCAACACACACAGUGACCAACAACGUUUUAUUUUCUGUGGCAAAAAAUAGUUUCUCUUAAACUUUCCCUUUGUCUAUACACAUUUUCUAUCAUUUUCACUCCCACUUACUCUAGCUGUAUAAUAAAUGAAUUAUAUUUUCUAAUUCUUAACCGUACUUGGUAAUUACUAAAUUGUGUCUUCAUGACCAUGUAAAAUUGCAUUGUGAAGACAUUUUAGUAAUGUUUAUUCAGUUAUAUAUUUGCAUG